AGGUGGCAACUUUAACAAGAUAACACAUUCAAACUGUGAGCAACCCUUCAAACAGCUGAUUCGAACUGUCAAAAAUUGUGUAGCUACAAAAAUAUUUACAUGUAAGCAAUGCCUCGCAGAAGUGGAAAAGAAAAAUUACUAAACGGACUGUGUUUAAAAAACAUGUUGGAAUUGCUGCUCCAAGAUUCAAGAAGUGAAGAUGAGGACUGCGAUAUUCUAAUGGACUUUAAUGUUAGUGCAGCAAUAAUUUUGUCCUCAAGAAGAUGCAGCCACGUAAAUGUGCCAAAAUCUACAAAUUGGAUUAACACAAUCCAUACAAUCGUAUGCGGCAAAUGUUACGACUGGAAACUCCGGAAUUUCAACAUAUUUUAAGCUUAAUCAAAGAAGAUACUGCUUUUAAAAUAAAAAUUCGGUUCCUCAAAUGCCAGUGGAAUUGCAAUUAAAGAUCGCACUUUUUUGUCUUUGUGUUGGCCAACUAGGGAAGAAAGACGCAAACUUGUAGCCAAUACAAUGCACGAGCUGCCAGGGUGCAUUGGCUAUGUCGAUGGCACUGAAAUACGUUUGUCGGAAUAUCCAAUUAAGGAUCAUGAAUUCUAUUUUUCCAGGAAAAAACAGUAUUCCAUGAAAAUGCAAAUAGUGUGCGACUAUUCUUUGAGAAUUCGACAAGCAACAAUUGGAUAUAGGGGCAGUGUACAUGAUGCUAAAAUUUUUGCAGAAUCAGCUAUUGGACGAGCACCUGGAAAUUAUUUUUGUGAAAGGCAAUGGAUAGCCGGUGAUUCUGCGUAUCCCUUAAAUAGAAAUAUAAUUACACCUUUUCGGCAAAAUAGCAACGAACUGUCGCAAUAUAAAAGGGAUAGGUUCAACAAAUACUUUUCUAAAUAUCGAGUACGAGUGGAAAAGUGUUUCGGCAAAUUAAAAGACAGAUUUAGCAGCUUAAAAGAGCUUCGGUUUCGAUUGUCUAACGAAAAUAAUUACAAGAGCUGUUGCAGAUGGAUUUUAGCCUGCAGCAUUUUGCAUAAUAUAUUGCAAGACUUUAACAAUGACGACGAUAAUAGCUGUGAUGGGGAAGAAAUUGAUUAUCCUCCAGAAAUUUAUGAACAACACGAAUUACGAAUUGCAUUGGCUGAAUUUGUUAAUAAUAGGAGCUCCCAAUAAAAGUUUCUAAGUGAUUUUUUUUUUUUAAUUUUUAGAACUAAUGUGUUUUUUUUAACCAAAUACCAUUUAGUUGUAAAGACAAUUAUCUUAAUAUUUAAAGGAAGAGUUCCAAUGUAAUUAAUAAAUAGACUAGUAAUUUUUGUUUAUAUCAUAUUCGUAGUGCUUUCUUGGUGUAUCCUCGGAAUGGGUUAAAAAUUAUAAAGUACAGAAAAUAAAAACCGCCAAAGAAUA